rnacentral:rRNA from 1 species
AUUGAACGCUGGCGGCAGGCCUAACACAUGCAAGUCGAGCGGCGUGGCUUACGGGUGAGUAAUUCCUUGGAAUCUGCCUGGUCGUGUGGGAUAAUGUCAGUAAACGGGCGCUAAUCUCGCAUACUAUCAGAUGCGCCUAGGUCGGAUUAGCUGGUUGGUUGGGUAAAGGCCUACCAAGGGGACGAUCCGUAACUGGUCUGAGAGGAUGAUCAGUCAAACGGGAACUGGAACACGGUCCAGACGCCUACGGGAGGAAGCAGAGGGGAAUAUUGGCAAAUGGGCGAAAGCCUGAUGCAGCCAUGCGGCGUGGGUGAAGAGGGUCUUCGAAUGGUAAAGCACUUUAAGUUGGGAGGCGUUAACAACAGAAUAAGCACCGGCUAACUUCGGGCCAGCAGCCGCGGUAAUAC